GCUUAUCACCAUUCCACAUUGAAUAUACCCGAUCUCGUCUGAUCUCAGAAGUCAAGCAAUCUCGGGCUUGGUUAGUACUU
rnacentral:rRNA from 1 species